UACGUAGGUGGCAAGCGUUGUCCGGAAUUAUUGGGCGUAAAGCGCGCGCAGGCGGCUUCUUAAGUCUGAUGUGAAAUCUCGGGGCUCAACCCCGAGCGGCCAUUGGAAACUGGGAGCUUGAGUACAGAAGAGGAGAGUGGAAUUCCACGCGUAGCGGUGAAAUGCGUAGAUAUGAUGGAGGAACACCAGUGGCGAAGGCGACUCUCUGGUCUGUAACUGACGCUGAGGCGCGAAAGCGUGGGGAGCAAACAGG
rnacentral:rRNA from 1 species